CAAUGGGUGGACUAACAGACACGUAAUUGUAAUUAGAGAAAUGGACACACAGGAACUGAGGGGUUGAGGGCCCUGCUCAAUGAGCUCACAUGCUAGAGGGAGUGGGGUAUAGUGAUACAAAAGGUAUAACUAGGGGUAAUGAAAUAGCUAUGUUAUUAAAUGCCAUGCCAUUUCCUUUCAUCUCAUAACUUACUCGGAAUACCAUUAUAUUAUUUUAUAUAGCGCAAGCAAAUUCCAUAGCGCUGUAAAAUGGGAUAAACACAGUACUAAAAUAGCUCAAUUAUAGAAGUGCAUUAUCCUUC